rnacentral:tRNA from 1 species
GCUGAUGGUUGUAGUUAUCGCACUGGAUUUAGGUUCCAGCGCUGCAAGGCGUGGAGGUUCGAGUCCUCUCAUCCGCACCA